rnacentral:rRNA from 1 species
AAUAGCCUAACGGCUGAACCAGCAACUUGGAAGAAUGUAUAGUGAUUGCUAAUUGUUUCAUUCCAAAAAAAAAAUGAAGCAGUCUCGAUUUGAUCGAAUAAAAUUCUGAGUAAAAUUAUGAUAAUGACAUUAUUUACUCAUGAGUCUUGACCAAAUUACGUGCCAGCAGUCGCGGUAAUACGUAGAAGACGAGUGUUAUUCAUCUUUAAUAGGUUUAAAGGGUACCUAGACGGCAAAUUAAGCCUUAGUUGGGACUGGUUUGCUAGAGUUACUUAUGAGGAAGUUUUAAUGUACUAGAGGUGAAGAGAUGAAAUUCUGUCAUACCUUUUUUCUAACGAAAAAUUUCGGCACAGGUAUAGGUGAAAACAUCUUCUUAUGGGAUAACUGACGUUGAGGGACGAAGGCUUUUUAUCGCGAACAGGAUUAGAUACCCUGGUAGUCAAAGCAGAAAAUGAUGAGUGUCAUAGAUUAGAUCUAGUUUAUUCUAUAAAUGAAAGUGUAAGCACUCCACCUCAAGAGUAAUUUGGCAACAUUGGAACUGAAAUCAUUAGACCGUGUCUGAAACCAGUAGUGAAGUAUGUUAUUUAAUUUGAUAAUCCGCAAAAAACCUUACCACAACUUGAAUGUUUAUUUACUUACUUUUAUUACAUGUUUUGUGAGCAAUCCUGUAUAUAAUUAGGGUUGCUCUUUAAGCAAUCAUGUUUAUAGAUGAAAUUAAAUAGGUACAAGUGUUGCACGGCUGUCUUCAGUUAAUGUCGUCAGACUAUGGUUAGCUCCAGUAAAUUAACGUAAACCCUUGCUCUAGUUUUAAGUAGAGUAGUUCUCCGCUAUAUUGGAUAAGAUAACAGGGAUCAAGACAAGUCAUCAUGGCCUUAAUGUUGUGGGCUAUAGACGUGCCACGUGAGCCUUUACAAAAGGAUGUAAAAUUGUGAAAUUGAGCUAAUCCCGUAAAACUGGCUAUACAUUUCGCAU